GAUGAACGCUGGCGGCGUGCCUAAUACAUGCAAGUCGAGCGAACGGACGAGAAGCUUGCUUCUCUGAUGUUAGCGGCGGACGGGUGAGUAACACGUGGAUAACCUACCUAUAGGACUGGGAUAACUUCGGGAAACCGGAGCUAAUACCGGAUGAUAUUUUGAACAGCAUGGUUCAAAAGUGAAAGACGGUCUUGCUGUCACUUAUAGAUGGAUCCGCGCUGCAUUAGCUAGUUGGUAAGGUAACGGCUUACCAAGGCAACGAUGCAUAGCCGACCUGAGAGGGUGAACCGCCACACUGGAACUGAGACACGGUCCAGACUCCUACGGGAGGCAGCAGUAGGGAAUCUUCCGCAAUGGGCGAAAGCCUGACGGAGCAACGCCGCGUGAGUGAUGAAGGUCUUCGGAUCGUAAAACUCUGUUAUUAGGGAAGAACAUAUGUGUAAGUAACUGUGCACAUCUUGACGGUACCUAAUCAGAAAGCCACGGCUAACUACGUG
rnacentral:rRNA from 1 species